rnacentral:rRNA from 1 species
GACGAACGCUGGCGGCGUGCUUAACACAUGCAAGUCGAACGGAAAGGCCCUGCUUUUGUGGGUUGCUCGAGUGGCGAACGUGUGAGUAACACGUGAGUAACCUGCCCUUGACUUUGGGAUAACUUCAGGAAACUGGGGCUAAUACCGGAUAGGAGCUCCUGCUGCAUGGUGGGGGUUGGAAAGUUUCGGCGGUUGGGGAUGGACUCGCGGCUUAUCAGCUUGUUGGUGGGGUAGUGGCUUACCAAGGCUUUGACGGGUAGCCGGCCUGAGAGGGUGACCGGCCACAUUGGGACUGAGAUACGGCCCAGACUCCUACGGGAGGCAGCAGUGGGGAAUAUUGCACAAUGGGCGGAAGCCUGAUGCAGCAACGCCGCGUGCGGGAUGACGGCCUUCGGGUUGUAAACCGCUUUCGCCUGUGACGAAGCGUGAGUGACGGUAAUGGGUAAAGAAGCACCGGCUAACUACGUG